AGCAAAACAAAAUUACAUUAAUUAAAUAAAAAGUAAACAAGAACAUGUGUUGGUUGCAGCAGCAUCUUCUCAAAAUAAAUCUACACAGGGUAAAAUUCCAAAUUACUGGCAAAACUCUAAUCAUACUGGGGGGGGAACUGGUUCCUCCUCCUGCUUUUUCUUUUUUAUAUCCUCAAACAGAUACAGAGCGUUUCCUCGUGGACGGGGAUGGCGUUUGGCUGGAUGUGGAUGGGAGCCAUGGGGCAAGGUCACGGAGCACGAGGCCAAGGGCCAAAGGACCGUGACACGUGCUACCAGUGCUGACAUUUUGGACACUGGGUCAAACACUGUGUGAACAUACCAAAGACUGCCAGGUAUGAUGCCCAACAAUCCUUAUGUGAUUCCUGGACAUUGCUUUCAGGGGAAUACUGAGGCCACACAGAACAUCUACUGAAACACUGCUGAGGACCCCGGAGACAAUGUGGGUACAGCAGACCCCAUGUUGUCUGCAACAGUGGAAGGAAAGCACACAGACUUCCUGGUUGACACUGGAGCCACACAUUCCACUCUGAACUCUGCUUCACCUUUUCUCUGACAUCAAGAACUGUGUCUUUAACAGGGUUCUCAGGGACUGAACAGUCUGCUAUUCACGAUGCCUCUGACCUUCACCUUGGGUAAUCAGAAUAUGAAACAUUCUUUUCAGCCUAAUGUCAACGUUCUUGGCCUGGAAGCCCUGGCUCCUGUGUCUGCGCUUCUGUGUUCCUCCUCCGGAUCCACCAUGCGCGGCCCUGUUCUGCGACAGAGACGUAUCUGAAUGGUACCAGGAACCUUUCCUUUCCACUUUGGAGGAAACAACCUGGCAGGUAAAAGUCUCGGACAUUUAUGUAGCUCCUGUUGGUGUAGCUGCUGCUGUCUCUCUCACAGAAAAACAAUCAGAAUGGUAUUAAAUGUCUCACAUUUCUCUCUGUUUGCACCCUGAGCACCAAGUGAAAAAAUUGGGCGUGAUGAUGAAACGUUCCCUGGCAGCCACAGAUUCGAUUGCCACAGCAGCACUAGGUUUGUUUUCCUCCCAUACUCUUUACACAUGUAAUAUCUGUCAUUCAGGGUCUGAUCACAUAAUAAGUCUUAAAGGAAAAUGUACUGCAAUUUUCCAUAAAUCAGUGACCUUAGACAUUCUGAUGAGGCUCCUUGGUUUGUAAAAGUAACAAUCUUCAAACAUAUUUGUCAGCAUAUCUACAUUUCUUAAUUAAAUGGUUUUCUUUAUAUUGUUUGGUAAGAUAUUCCGAUUUAAUCUGUCAUAUUUCCAUUAACUGUAAGCAUAAAAUUAUUGUCAUUACUAGACUUAAAGACUUUAGUUAUGUGUUUCACUUUUUGAACUGAUUUACUAAAAUAAAUUAACAUUUAAUAUGCAAUGCAUAAAAAUAUUUUUAACGUUGAAUGUUCCCUCAUAAUGGAAUCGAUUUUAGUUUAACCAGGUUUUGCAAGAUAUUUUGCAGGACUGCCCACUAGACCUUUUGCUUGCUGCACCAGUAACAGAGACCUGCGUUAAAGCCACCUCUCUGGUUUUGCAGUGCCUGCGUCAAACAGAUUUUAAGGUCAGUAAAAGCAGAUUGCUCGAAAACAGGCUAAGUUUCUGGGUAGAAUAAUUUCAGCAGGAACGACUGGCAUGUCCCCAUGGAACAAGCUUUUGUCUCUCUCAAACAACACAUGGCGUCGGCUGCAGAGCUGUCCAUCCCUGAAUACACUUUACAGUUCUUUGAGGAUAUUUCUGGAACAAAACUGACUGUUUUGUUUCAGAAAAAGGGGGAGGAAAAGGGCAUCACCCUUGUACACAACAGGCAGCUGGGAUACCUGCUGCCUGAUACAAAAACUGAACACAUAGUCAUGGGACAUUCACUGAGUUUCACCAUGACAGCGUUGAGGCAACAAACACUUUCCAAAGUCCUGAAAGCUCCAAACAUUUCAUUCACACACCAAGACAUAAAUAUGGCAGACUGUUUUUCAGAAGGAGAACCACAUGUGUGUGCAGACCUGGUGGCAAAGACAGACAAGGUAACACCAGGACUUCAGCAGCUCCUCUGCUGGGACCAGAGGUGAGACAGUUCUUUACAGAUGGUUGUUGUUUCAGAAACAACACACAAGGGUUAAGAGCCUGGAAGAGGUGGUGAGAUGUCAAAAGGGGGCGUCACCUGAAGAGAAAAACGUGAAACAAAUGGGUGCUGGAGGGGCCCAGAUGGCAGGUUAAUUCUGCCUCCUGGGAAAAUAGGAGAGCUGCUCCAAGAAGCUCACAGGGUUGGAUAUGUUGGGACGAAGCAGAUGAUGCACAAUCUUAAAGAGUGGUGGCACCCCCAAAUGAUCCACAUGGUGAAACAUUUUGUUAAGAAUUGUUCGGUGUGCGGACAGUUCAACCCUAAGAAAACUUUGAACCCACAUCAGGGACAGUUUCCUCCAGUCACAUGUCCAGGGAAAGAAAUUGUGUUGGAUUUUACUGACAUGAUAAACCCGGUGCAAGACAAAAAUAUUUGCUGAUUUGUGUUGAUGCUUUCACAGGAUGGCCUGAAGCCUGGCCAGCAACAGCAGAAGAUAGUAAAAUCAUCAUAAAAUGUCUAAUCAAUCAUUACCUCCCAAGGCAAAGCAGAAUGAAUGAAUCAAAAUUUAAAACAAAAUUGGCUAAGGUUUGUGCACAAACAAAAUUAAAUUGGGUCGAUACAUUACACAGGAACCAACUUGUGGUUAGACUGAUUAACUGCAACAGCACGAUAAUAUCAAAUGUCUAACUGUGUGACCUGCACAGCUGGACGACCCAGAAUCUAUACUGAACCUGCUUCUUUGAUUCCAUCUGACAUUUGGGGUUUUAACUGCAUGUUUAAUAUGACUAAGUUUAAACAGCCCUCUGGAUGUGACACUUUAACAGCUUUAUUUCCAGUAAUCAACAGCGGAGCCCGGAUGGUGCCGCUAUUCCAGUUAAAGAUAACUAUGUCUAUUUCAAUUUUACAACAGGUAACCGCAGUGUGGGCCGGAUCCCUGAAAGUUGGUGUAACAUCACAUUCCCACAGCACUUAAUAGGCUAGAGAUGGGAUAUUUUAUCUAUGCAGGGGUAAUAAACUAAUUGAGAGAAUAUAGACUGGUGUGACAGGUGUCUGUGCUAUGGUGAGACUUAGAGCCUGUGUCAUCAUGGUAGGUGAACAACAACCUCUGAAUCACAGCAUCUUUUCACAGGUCAAGUGCAGCGCAACUGUGGAGCUGCAACUUUCCAGAUUUUAAAUGUAAAAGUCCAAUCCUUUCUCGGUGUGCCUGGAUGAAAAUGAGGCAUCUGGACACACGUAGAAACUGGUUGACAUUAACAGAUACUAGACGACAAAAUUUUGAAUUAAGUUUGCAGAUCUCAUUAAAAUAAAUUAAUCCUGUUGACUUCUUAAGAUUUGGCCAGUAUCAUUACAUUGUGUUAAGACUGAAUUUUUAUCUAAAACAUUGAUUGCCAAGUUUAAAAUGUGUUUUCAUUUUGUUCACUAAACAUAUUUCUUUUCAGAUGAUAAGUUUGUAUCCCUUUAUGACCACUAACUACUUUCAUAUUUUGAACUUAAAGAUUUCACCUCUCGAGUACUAAAAGGGAUCUUAACAAUACUUUGUUUAGGAUUUUAUUUGUCAGUAUUAUAUCUAACAUUUAAUCAUUUAUCCUAUUUUCAUUAAGUUUUGACUUAUUGAAGCUUGCAUAUUGACUAACAUUUUAUUCAUUUUGCAUUAUUCAAUUUAUAGUUUACCGGCAUUCACAGUAUUAACCUCACAUUGUAUUCUAUUUACAUUUUAUUGUUUGUUCACGUUUCACUAAUUAAAAAAAAAAAUUAAUAAUAAUAAUAUAAGAAACGGAUUUCAAAUGCCGGCUUCACUUUCUAACAUUUAUUUUUAAAUUUACUCUUUUAACUCAUUAAUUUCACUUUAUUCAUUCAAAUUGCACAUUUGAAUGCAAGUGUGCAAUUCAAACCGGUUCGACAUUGAUAGGGUUUGCUAGAAGACAUUGCCUUGAUUAAACUUUGUAGAUCGCAUUACAACUCAAUACUACUGAAUUCUAAUGAAUCUUCUAGAAUAAUUACAUUGUACUUCUACUGAAUUUUUGAAAAUAACAUUGAUUUGCAUAUUUCAAAUGUGCUUGUCUCUUAUUCUGUGCAUUGCACAUGGUUUUCAUCUAAAAAAAGGGAUCUGAAAAUUUCUUUGUUUACGUUUAAAAUUUUUAAGCAUCAUCUAACAAUUAUUCAUUUUAAGGUUUAUCUUCUUGACUUUUGGUUUAA